ACCUAUUGUUAUAAAUUCUACUUUCAGUUUUGUUUGCUGUAUGCUCAAAUGCUAAGAAUUGUGUCUUGCAUGUUACUUCAUGUACACUCCUCCAAUGGGCAGAAAGGGGAAAUGAAAGAAAUGUGCUCAAUCUGCAGGCUUUUGGCUCCACCUGGAGAGAGAAACAAAUGGCAACUUUUUUUUUUUUUUCCAUUAAGCUGCCUUGCCUUCCUUCUCUGAGAAGUAUAGAGGUAGAAACGUUUCCCAGUGUCCUUAAUGAGCUGUAAGGGAUGCUUUGUGGAGUGGAUGGCGCUGCACUUCCAUUUCUAGAUAGCUGUGUGCUCAGCAGCAAGAAUUGGAACAUCGUUGGAACUGCUUGUGGUUCCACCCAGCUGGUGUUUAAUGCAGUAGAUUUUGUUGAAAAAUAUGCCUGUAAUGAUACAGUGGUUUUACCUUGCAUUGUGAUUAACCUAAAGGAGAACAAUGACAGCAGCAUGCAUGUUUCAUGGAAGAGACAAGGACAAGUAUUUUUUUCUUUUAGUGGACCAGAACAGCAGACUUACAGGCAUGAGUCAGUUCCAUCAGCUAACUUCCUUUCGAAGAUGGAUUUAUCUAAGGGUGUUGCCUCACUACAACUUAAAAAUGCAGAAGCAACGGAUGGAAAUUACAGUUGUGAAGUAACAGAAUUAAACAGAGAAGGAGAAACAAAGAUGGAACUUAGAACUCGUAUGGUUGACAGUUGCGACGAGGAAAAACCUCCAACACCAGUGGAUAAGUGUGAACGACAGUUCGACCUAAUCCAAAGUAUUGUCAUCUCAGCGUUGCUGGUCUUCAUUAUUGCUCUUUGCUGGGCUCAGUUAGGUGUUAUUGCAUUAAAAUGUGAAACUGUACGUAAGAAGAAAAAGCACAUCACUGUGGCAUGUAGCAUCUUCACAGUCAUUGCUGUUGUAGCUGUCGUGCUUUUUAUCCAAGAUGGCAGUAUUAGCAUGAAUCAAAUUGGUCUUGCUUUUACCAUACUACCUGCUGGGAUGCUGAUGGUGCUUCAGUACUCUAUAUUUAAAAUGGUUCUGGAUGAUCUAACACACAAAGGAUAUGCUCUGAUGGGCUUUCAAGUUGUGGGUUACAUAGUUGCUGUGGUUGGCUUUGCACUGUCUGUCUCAGCCUGUCCUUCAGUCCUCCUGUCCGUUGUAAUUGCCGGCUUAGUUGUUAUGGCUGUUGCGGAUCUUCUUGCUCUGGUUUAUGUCUAUAGUUGUUCCAGAAUGAAAGAUCAUCAAACUCCAAGGAAUCACUACUUACUGUAUAUGUCAAUUAGAGUAAUUUAACUGUGGCGAGCCAAAAGUAAACAUGAAGACAUUUUAUACAUAUAUAUAUUUUUAAAUGUUUUGCAGAAAGCUGUAGAAGAACCACUAAAUGGUAGGUGAUAUUCAAGGCUUACCUUCUAAUUAAGGGAUUAAUUAUGGAAGUAGUUAAGAAAAAUAAUUGUAGCUCCCAGUGCAACAGCACUGAGCUGGCAGAUAGAGCCAUGUAAACUGACAUACAUGAGUCAGUAAGUUUGAUCUCUCACUGAAAUAAUGUCUGCAGCUCCAAACCCUCUGUUCUUCCAAACCCUGCUGUUCCUUCUAGCCAGUGCCAUCACUUGGGGGCUGUUUUGGAACAAUUGUAAUACCUCAGUGUAUUGUGCCCAUCCCACUUUUUUUUUUCCUUUCCCUUUUAAAGGUGGUGUUAAUACUACUUUAUAAGCAUUUAUUUUAGUGGAAAACUUGUGAUUGUAGCAAAAUCUGUCAUUCAGAACAAUGUCAGAACUAUGGUUCUGAUAUUUCCCUGAAUUGGGAAACUCUGAUAGCACUUAAGAUUCAGGAAACUUACAGUGAGAAACAGAUGACUAAAACAUCAUUCUGCUAUUCUGUUCACUAACUGGCAUGCUCAGUAGUAACAAAUUGUAAAAUUCAUUUUAAAAUUAAUCUGAACAUUAAUUGUGAAGUAUUUCUUUCUGUCUGGUCUGUUACUAAUCCAUUUGCUUGGCUUUUAAAGAUACAAAAGGAGUGAUGUUAGAAUGAAGUAUUAAAGACAGAGACCGAAGCUACUGCAGAAAUGAGUGAUGUGUGAGAAGUACACCGUUGUUUAUACGCCGUGGCCUUGAAGAUGCACUACUCAAAGAGAAGAAAUUCAGGAAACUUGUUGUUUUGCAUGUGUGGCAAAAGUGCUUUUGAUAUAAAUGAUGUAAUUUUAUAUAGUCACAGCAGUAGCGAGGGACGUGCGUGUUUGCCCAAGUGUGACCUUUAUUUCUUUUGUUAUGGUAUAUAUGGUGUGGUUGAGGGUGAGAAUAUAAAAAGCACUGUUUGCCCACUACAGCAUCUCCCUGCAGUAUACUUAGUGGUAUUACUUUCCAAAAUUAUCAUCAGUCACUGCUUUGAUAAUGGGCCUGCUCAGCCCAAAGAUUGCAGUACCAUUUAGAAUAUUGUUUUCUUUAUUUGUGUGCAUGGGCAAGGUAUGGUAGUAAUGUCUGUGAUACAAGCAGGAAGCAGGAAUUGUACAAAUACUUUUUCCAACGUUCAGCAGAAUUUUUAUAUAAAAAUGCUUAGACACAAAGUUGUAUAAAUGCAGAUUUUACUGCCAGCUCUCCUUAAGAGAUUAACCAAGAUAUCUUAAUUCCACAGAAUGGUAACAUUCCCGUCAAUAGACAGCACUCAUGUAUGCUGUGGUGGCCAAUACUUCAGUCUGGCGAGAGAGCUCUCAGUGCCUCUUAUGUUUUCUUUGAGCAGCAGCUCAGCUUUUGGAGCCUAAUUCAGCAUGGGAAUUACAGAGCAUUUAGUAAUUUUCACACUGAAUGUGGUUCACGUGUUUGUUCACGUUGUGGAGUUUGUGGUACUGGAACCACACAUCAGUUUCAGGCUCUCUUACUGAGUGUAUUUGUAAAACACGUUGAUGCUUCAGAAAAAAUUGAGUUGUCCUAUCAGUGUUUUUAAAUCUCUUUUCUUGAAUGGAGAUGGGAGUUACUUCAUUUCUGACCCAAAUUUGUGUUUGUGUUAUGUCACAAAUGCAUAGAAUAGAAUUUGUGUAGGAGGAGUUGGUGAGAAGUGAGGAGGCUUAGUUGCUGUUACACGUAAGUGGCACAGAUAAAAAUCCACAUAGGAUUGAUUUUAUAGAACCUGCACAUUCCAUGAGAUUUUAGUGCUUUACAGCUGUUCUGGGAGUUGUUCCAGCGUAGCUGGCUUCUCUUGGACUUCUUUUAGAGUUUGCAGAAAACUUCUCCCCAGCUCCCAUUUGUACUAGGCUCAUUUCAAAGGCACACGUGGUUCUCUCCUAAUGAUUUAAAACUUUGUUUGGAAAGCUGUUGCUGAACAGCAGUGUAAUAAUAAAAUCCAUUUCUUAAAGGGUAUUGACUAUUAGAACAAGUUUCAGGAUUGGAUGUUAUUAAAGAAGGGUUUGUAGCCAUGCUGUGGCUGUGUGUUGCAGACAUCCACGUGCAGGCUCCAUCCAAGUCUCAGUGCAGACAGUUUGCAUUCAACUAAAUGAAAUUGAAGUAUCCCAUCUUGGAAUAUUCACUCUAACAGUCCUCUUGCAAAGGCUGCAGUACUGAACCACCGAAACAGCCCUUGGUCCAGCCCUCCCUAAAGGAAGUUAAAUUGGCCACAGUGUAGAGAGUUACUUGUGAUAAAGUGUUUAAGAAGCAGAUACAAUUUACUUGUUUGUCAGUGGGAAUAUUCCUCUCAGAUUUCAGCUCUUAGUGUAUGAAUCUUCUCAAUACAGGUCUUUCCAUAGUCAUAGCGACCCACCUAGAGAUGGGAGACAUUUCUCUGUGUUAACAAUUCAAUAUUGGAAUUUAAUCUGAUUGAGAUUUGCCCCUCACUUGUUAAUGAUUCUUUUUGGUUUGUUGCAAGUAGAACAGUUGAGGAAUUAAACAAAACAAACGCACUGGAAUUCUCUUGAGCUAUCCUGCCUUACAAAAACAAAACAACAAGCACGUGUAAUAGCUUUACGUUAACUACUGUAAAGGAAAUUGCAGUCAAAUCUGUUGUGUGUCUCUGUGGUGAUGAGGCCAGGCUGUUACUAGGGUACUACUGAAACAUUUAGAACUCAGUAGCUGUGUACAGCCUGCAGAAUCAAUUGCUCUAGAAAUGAGAGAAACCCAGUGUGCUGUUGCUAAGGGCUCUCCUCUGGGUUUCUUGGAGGUGCAAAUUUAACAGUGAGAGUUUCAAAAGUCAUUGAUCUGCCCAGCCCUUUCCCACCAGUGAUUAAAACCAAAGUUCACAACUGUAUGACACCAUUCGUGUUUAUAUGUAUGCGUGUAUAUAUAAAUGCAUAGACAUUUUAAAUAUCUAUAGUCUUUAUCAAGAAUGUUUUUAUUUAUGAAACAUGAAAUGAUUUUGUAAAUAUUGUGCUAAUAUACUGAAAUAAAGUCAUUUUAAGUUGUUUUUGUCAGA